GCACCCAGUGAUUAUAAAAAGACGCGUUAUUCUGAGGGUUUUUACUGGAUGUCAGCUUUUCUACCUCUUCUCUUCUCUUUUUCCUCUCCUCUGUUUUUCUUUCUUCUUCUGUUCUCCUCUCGGAAGCUGACAACUGGUCCGCUGACUGCGAUUAUGAGAGAUGAGGGUGC